rnacentral:lncRNA from 1 species
AAAAUCCACACCCUGACGCUUUGGUCAUAUAACUAUUUUUACAUUUUAAAAAAUAUUAAGCUGUUUUCAGGAUGGGCAAAUUUCUGGAACAUAGCUGAGCCUUAUAUAGUUACUGCAGUUCCCAGAAGUGUCAAUGUGGCAUGUUUCAAUGCACUGGUGUUUAGGCAUUUAUGUAGCACUGUCUAAAGUGACUUUGUACGAAAUGUUGUGUGACACUCUGUUGAGCUUAUAGUAUAAAUCAAGAGGAGAGACUAAAAGUGGAAUGGAGUAUGGGUUUGUGGCUCCGUGGUGAAGUGCUAGUCUAACAUGCUCAAAGUCUGGGUUCCAUCCCCAGCACAAUUUUGUACUUGAAAUUGAAAAAUGUGACAUUCAUUUCUUUGUGCUAAAGUACUAGGCUUAUCCCCAAUUCUAAGAAUAUUACUUUAUCCAUGUAAUUAAUUCCCAAUAUAGAAUCAUUUCUCAGAAGUCAGAGAGAUGUAAACAGCUGGCAUGCUACACGUACCACCUGGUCUGCUAGUUCCCUUCUUUGUACAACAAGGAAUUUCUUCUCUUUCCUUCUCAAUGGCUUAAUCAGCAAAUAUCCACUAAAGAAGGAAGAGGGAUGCACUUAGAGUACUUCUGCUGAACCUUAGGUAAUCAUGAAAGUUAAACCGGCACAGUGGCACAUGCCUGUAAAUCCAGUUACUGGGGCCAGUCUCGGCAACCUAGUAAAGCCCUGUCUCAAAAUUUAAGAGGAGGGCUGGGGAUGUGGCUCAAGCGGUAGCGCACUCGCCUGGCAUGCGUGCGGCCCGGGUUCGAUCCUCAGCACCACAUACCAACAAAGAUGUUAUGUCCGCCAAAAACUAAAAAAUAAAUGAAUAUUAAAAAAAAAAUUUAAAAGGACUGGGGAUAUGACUCAGUGGUUAAGUAACCCUGAGUUUAAUCCCUAGUACCAAAAAAAUGUUAAAAAGUCUUAGAGAAAAUAUGUUUAAUGUGAUAAAAUUUAAAAAUCCAGAUUCAUCUUUAAUGCCAAUAUAAGAAUGGUGAUAUACUAACUGAUUAAAAAAAAAAAAAAACCUGAACAUAUCACUAAUAGUUGCUUCAACAGAUAGAACAGGUUCCCAUUUGGGCUUUAUGAAUUUUGCAUCCGACAUCUUUAUUGGAGAAAUAUGUGGAGGGUCAAUAAGGAGCUAAAUGUCAUAUAUGGAACUCAAUGGAACUGGCAAAGCUCUGUUUAUCAUAUAAAUUUAGAUAUUAUUCAUAAUUUUUUCUAAAGAUAUUUUUACUCAGGAGAUUGAGACAGGAGGAUCACAAGUUCGAGGACAGACUUGGCAAUCUAGCAAGACCCUCAGCAACUUAGGAUCUUUCUUUAAAGAAAUCAAGUACAAGUAAUAGAGUUCAUUUCUCCAGAUGAGUGGUUACUGGGUUUGGAAGAAGGUGUGUCUUAAGUGGAAGGGUUGACUGAGUACAUGGUUGGUUAGUUAACUGUAACCCUCUCUAUAAUUGCACCCAGCCACCGGGAAGAACUCUGCCACGCUGGGUAGCCUUUAUGUAAGUUUGACAAUUGGUUUUACAACCUGACAGGGAUUAACUUUAUACCUUGCAAAUUAAAUAGAGAUUAUAAAAUAUUUAAUGUGCUCAGGCUUUUUCAGAGUCCCACUCUGUUACAUAUGGCUGGAGAGAGAAGUAUUUACACAGAAGCUUUCUCAAACUGAAUGUCAACAUACAUUGAAAGAAGCCUAUUUAGUAAUUAAUAUUUGACAUCUUAUUUGAAUUAGCGUGAAGAAUGGACCUUUGAAAGGCUUAUACCGGGCUGGGGAUGUGGCUCACGCGGUAGCGCGCACGCCUGGCAUGCGUGCGGCCCGAGUUCGAUCCUCAGCACCACAUACAAAAAACAAAGAUGUUGUAUCUGCCGAAAACUAAAAAAUAAAUAAAUAAAUAUUAAAAUUUAAAAAAAAGAAAAAAGAAAGGCUUAUACCUUUUGACUGCUUGGCUCUG